AUUAUUUUGGCAGAUUAGUGCAUUAAAUUUAGAAUUUAAUUAUGUAAAUAGAUAUUACAAAUAAU
rnacentral:tRNA from 1 species